UGUUCUGGUUUUAAAUUCACCAAAAUUUUUCAAAUAUUAAUCCCCAAGGGAAAUUAAAUGUUGUUGCAACUCAUUCAUUUAGAUUCUUCAAAGCUUUAUUGAAGAUCGUGAUGGCUGUUGGCA